rnacentral:rRNA from 1 species
AGAAACUAACAAGGAUUCCCCUAGUAGCGGCGAGCGAACCGGGAGAAGCCCAGCUUGAAAAUCGCGUCGCUUCGCGGCGCGAGUUGUAGUCUGGAGAAGCGUCCUCUGCUGCGGACUUGGCCCAAGUCCCCUGGAAAGGGGCGUCGGAGAGGGUGAGAACCCCGUCGGGCCGAGACCCUGCAGCUCCACGAGGCGCUGUCGACGAGUCGGGCUGUUUGGGAAUGCAGCCCUAAGCGGGAGGUAAAUUCCUUCCAAGGCUAAAUACUGGCGGGAGACCGAUAGCGAACAAGUACCGCGAGGGAAAGAUGAAAAGGACUUUGAAAAGAGAGUUAAAAAGUGCUUGAAAUUGCUGGGAGGGAAGCGAAUGGAGGCCUCGUGUGCGCCCCGGUCGGAUGCGGAACGGCGUGAAGCUGGUCCGCCGCUCGACGCGGGGUGCUGGUCAGCGUGGGCUGUCGCGGCGGGAGAAACGUCGGCCUUCAGUGGCCGGCCGAUGCCGUCGGGGCGGCCGAGGAAUCGAAGCGCGCGUCCCUYGGGACGGGGCCCCCCUCGGGGGCCACCUGCGCGCUCGAGACGCUGGCGUAGUGGGCUUUUCAUCCGACCCGUCUUGAAACACGGACCAAGGAGUCUAACAUGCAUGCGAGCCGGUGGGCGGCAAACCCACGUGAGGCGCAAAUAACUUAACUGGUGUGAUCCUCCUCCGCGGGGUGCAACAUCGACCGACCAUGAGCUUAUGCGAAAGGUUCGAGUAAGAGCAUGCCUGUUGGGACCCGAAAGAUGGUGAACUAUGCCUGAGCAGGGCGAAGUCAGAGGAAACUCUGGUGGAGGCUCGUAGCGAUACUGACGUGCAAAUCGUUCGUCAGACUUGGGUAUAGGGGCGAAAGACUAAUCGAACCAUCUAGUAGCUGGUUCCCUCCGAAGUUUCCCUCAGGAUAGCUGGAGCACGAGGAGUUUCAUCAGGUAAAGCGAAUGAUUAGAGGCAUCGGGGGUGAAACACCCUCGACCUAUUCUCAAACUUUAAAUAGGUGAGAUCCGACGGGGUUGCUUAACUGAACCCCCGGCGGAGAAUCCGACGUC